AACCUACGGGGGGCAGCCGUCGGGCCUCUUCCCCCCUGUCCUCCCGUCUGCUGGAGCAACGCCGCGUGAGUGAAGAAGGGUUUCGGCUCGUAAAGCUCUGUUGGUAGUGAAGAAAGAUAGAGGUAGUAACUGGCCUUUAUUUGACGGUAAUUACUUAGAAAGUCACGGCUAACUACGUGCCAGCAGCCGCGGUAAUACGUAGGAGGCAAGCGUUGUCCGGAUUUAUUGGGCGUAAAGC
rnacentral:rRNA from 1 species